AGAGCGAACGCUGGCGGCAGGCUUAACACAUGCAAGUCGAGCGGGCGUAGCAAUACGUCAGCGGCAGACGGGUGAGUAACGCGUGGGAACGUACCUUUUGGUUCGGAACAACCCAGGGAAACUUGGGCUAAUACCGGAUAAGCCCUUACGGGGAAAGAUUUAUCGCCGAAAGAUCGGCCCGCGUCUGAUUAGCUAGUUGGUGAGGUAAUGGCUCACCAAGGCGACGAUCAGUAGCUGGUCUGAGAGGAUGAUCAGCCACAUUGGGACUGAGACACGGCCCAAACUCCUACGGGAGGCAGCAGUGGGGAAUAUUGGACAAUGGGCGCAAGCCUGAUCCAGCCAUGCCGCGUGAGUGAUGAAGGCCCUAGGGUUGUAAAGCUUCUUUUGUGCGGGAAGAUAAUGACGGUACCGCAAGAAUAACGCCCGGCUAACUUCGUGCCAGCAGCCGC
rnacentral:rRNA from 1 species